UUCACCUGCCCCUUCGUCGGAUCCUCCGCAAAUAACCGGCUGCAAGGCAAGGGGCGAGGUGAUGGGGCUGGGCAGGGAGGACAGCGAGGUGGACAUCCUCUGGAGGAGGAUCUCAGGAACAGGUCAGAUCGGGGCAGCUCGGACCCUGCAGGCCUCUAGUGGAGGCGUGCGAGGGACCUCGGCUCAGAAGGGCCUCCGGGGAAAACGUGAAGUCCCCUAAAUAGUUACAUCCCGCCGUCCCCGUACGUCAGGCUUCAACUGUGACAAGUGCCUGUUUUCUUCGGGGGUGCUGUUUUGCUCGAGGCACCUAGGGACGUUCACCAAGAGAAAGAGUAGCAACGUUGCGUGGAAUUCCCUAUGGAAGAAACACACGGGGAAACCGUAGAGACUUUGGCCAGGUGUUGGAGCAGAGGACAGGGGCUGCCUAGCCGCUGCCUGGGCCUGACUGAGUGCCAGAGCUCUGAGAGCAUGGACAGACCUCUGGAUCAACACAAAGUGUCGCAUCCUCGGUUCGAUUCCCACUCCAUAGAGGGCUUCUAAACGAGCAGUUUCCCUUCGUAACAGGAGACACUGCUCCUCAGCUCCCCAGGACACCCACUGGAAGGUCCACUUCUUGGUCCACCAAAGAGCACUGUGAGAUGUUUCCCUCAGAAAUCCACUCGUCCUCUCAUCCAUACUGCUCUCCUCUUUUCCUCAGAAGUCAUCUCUCUUUGAACCCCAUUUCAGAACGCAGAGAAAGGAAAAAAUAAAAAAAUCAGAGAUCUA